CCAGCCAUACCGCGUGGGUGAAGAAGGCCUUCGGGUUGUAAAGCCCUUUUGUUGGGAAAGAAAUCCUGUUGGUUAAUACCUGGCAGGGAUGACGGUACCCAAAGAAUAAGCACCGGCUAACUUCGUGCCAGCAGCCGCGGUAAUACGAAGGGUGCAAGCGUUACUCGGAAUUACUGGGCGUAAAGCGUGCGUAGGUGGUGAUUUAAGUCCGUUGUGAAAGCCCUGGGCUCAACCUGGGAAUUGCAGUGGAUACUGGGUCACUAGAGUGUGGUAGAGGGUGGCGGAAUUCCCGGUGUAGCAGUGAAAUGCGUAGAGAUCGGGAGGAACAUCCGUGGCGAAGGCGGCCACCUGGGCCAACACUGACACUGAGGCACGAAAGCGUGGGGAGCAAACAGGAUUAGAUACCCUGGUAGUCCACGCCCUAAACGAUGCGAACUGGAUGUUGGGUUCAACUUGGAACCCAGUAUCGAAGCUAACGCGUUAAGUUCGCCGCCUGGGGAGUACGGUCGCAAGACUGAAACUCAAAGGAAUUGACGGGGGCCCGCACAAGCGGUGGAGUAUGUGGUUUAAUUCGAUGCAACGCGAAGAACCUUACCUGGUCUUGACAUCCACGGAA
rnacentral:rRNA from 1 species